UACAGAGGGUGCGAGCGUUAAUCGGAAUUACUGGGCGUAAAGCGCGCGUAGGCGGCUUUGCAAGUCGGGUGUGAAAUCCCCAAGCUCAACUUGGGAACUGCAUUCGAGACUGCAUUGCUAGAGUAUGGGAGAGGGCAGUGGAAUUUCAGGUGUAGCGGUGAAAUGCGUAGAUAUCUGAAGGAACAUCAGUGGCGAAAGCGACUGCCUGGACCAAUACUGACGCUCAUGUGCGAAAGCGUGGGGAGCAAACAGG
rnacentral:rRNA from 1 species